AGAAAAUGGACAUAUAUUAAUACUAAUAACAAGUAACACCCACCUUAACACACUCUUGAUAAGGUGAAUCCUUUUUACAAGGAACCCACAUUAGAUUAGUCCUACCACAUGUUAAGAAUCUUCAACGCAACAACUAAUUUAUUGAGUGAGAUUUGUAUAUCAAAAACAGAUACCCACAAAAGCAAAUUUACCCUAUAGCACCCACCUUAGUUAUGUAAACCCACUUCUAUUCUUCGACAUUCACCAACUCGUACUCCACCAAGGACAAAUUGUUUUCUUCAUUGACAACAAAAGUUGCAGGCUCACCAGCUUCAAUACGGCCCCAUUUAUCAACUGCUAGCCUCAUAGAUCCCUUGAACAUGUCAAUCUUAGCAUUCCGAAUUAUGAUUGUGGCAUCUGGCUUCAUCAAGUCAACUUGCUCGUUACGAGCAGUGAGAAGAAUGGAUCCAGUUUCAUCCCCAACAAGGCAUUCAGCGAUGCGAGUAUUCUGUUGAGGUCGUGCUGGAACACGUAACGAUGAUGGGUUCCUAGGUUUCUUACUGAGUACUGUGUUGGCAUUCACAAUCUUAACAGUAAGAUUAUGACCGGUUGUUCCUGGUUUCAACUGAUCCACUUUGAUGAAAACUGGCUUUCUCAUCGCUGGCUUUGCCGCCGUGUUUGCUCCACCGGAAUUAGCCUGUUGUCGGUUGCCGGAUCUUGUUGCCAUUUUAGUUUGAGAUUGAACAAAAUUCUUUUGAUUUUUUUUUUUUAAGGAGAUCGGUUUCUCUAACCCUAACCCUAAUCGUCAAUUCAGGAAUCGAGGAAAAUGGAGUA
rnacentral:misc_RNA from 1 species